AACGCGAAGAACCUUACCAGUCCUUGACAUGUCUCGUAUGGGUCUGAGAGAUCAGAUCCUUCGGUUCGGCCGGCGAGAACACAGGUGCUGCAUGGCUGUCGUCAGCUCGUGCCGUGAGGUGUUGGGUUAAGUCCCGCAACGAGCGCAACCCUUACUCGUAGUUGCUACCCGCAAGGGAGAACUCUACGAGGACUGCUCCGGAUAACGGAGAGGAAGGUGGGGAUGACGUCAAGUCAGCACGGCCUUUAUGUCCAGGGCUACACACGUGUUACAAUGCAUGGUACAGACUGUUGCGAACCCGCGAGGGGGAGCUAAUCGGCCAAAGCCAUGCUCAGUUCGGAUUGCAGUCUGCAACUCGACUGCAUGAAGCUGGAAUCGCUAGUAAUGGCGUAUCAGAUCGACGCCGUGAAUACGUUCCCGGGCCUUGUACACACCGGAGUA
rnacentral:rRNA from 1 species